rnacentral:tRNA from 1 species
GCCUGGCUGGCUCAAUCAGUAGAGCAUGUGACUUUUGAUCACAGGGUUGUGAGUUUGAACCCCACGUUGAGCA